UUUAUUUGUAGCAAUAGAUUUGUAGUAAUAAAACAACGAAUAAAACAAAAAAAUGUCUAUUAUUUCUUUAUGAAACGAAAGAAACUUUUUACCAAAUAUAAUUAAACAAAUUUUGUCAGGUUAAAAGAAUCGAUUUAGUUUCGAACGAACGAUGAAAAAACUUCCGUAGCUUGAAAUUUCCCCAUCUUACGCCGUACGUUUUGCAAAGGUGAAAGACCCGUCGACGCAACUCCCACCAGCCACUUAAUUAAAGUCGUGGUGAAUAAUCGUAUUCGCGAACGUUCAGCUGAUGUUGGCGCCUGUCGCUCGUGCGAAUCAACCGGUCAGGGAUUCGUCUUCGUCGAAAGAUCGAGUUGCUGUGUCUCACGCUAUAAUUACCAACCAUUUACAAGUCGUUAACAGUGUAGCCACGUAAUGUUAACCAAUCGAUUGGAGUAGCGAGCACGCGAAUAUCCAGCCGCCUAUUCGUGAAAGAGAAUUUUCACAGCGAUUUACGAAGCACGCGUACGAUAGCAAGGGAACAACGACGAAGACCGAAGUGUGUCAAGUACGUUUCACGCGAUUCACGUAUUUCACGGAAGUAUAUUUCCGGAUUAAUUGAAAGUUUAAAUUAAAACUCAAACUUCUCCGGAGAGUAGGC
rnacentral:misc_RNA from 1 species